AAUACAUAGAAACGAUCACCAAGUCAAGGGGAUCGUAAGGUGGAGGCUUGGAAAGGAAGCGGGUCAAACGAAGCAAGAAUGGCGGAAAAGCGUAAUUCGGAUGCAAAGUACUUAUGGAUGCCGGAAGACGAUCAAGCUCAGUGAAGAAC